rnacentral:rRNA from 1 species
UGGGGAAUAUUGGGCAAUGGACGCAAGUCUGACCCAGCAACGCCGCGUGAAGGAAGAAGGCUUUCGGGUUGUAAACUUCUUUUAAGGGGGAAGAGUAGAAGACGGUACCCCUUGAAUAAGCCACGGCUAACUACGUGCCAGCAGCCGCGGUAAUACGUAGGUGGCAAGCGUUGUCCGGAUUUACUGGGUGUAAAGGGCGUGUAGGCGGGGAGGCAAGUCAGAUGUGAAAUACCGAGGCUCAACUUCGGGGCUGCAUUUGAAACUGUCACUCUUGAGUGCCGGAGAGGAAAGCGGAAUUCCUAGUGUAGCGGUGAAAUGCGUAGAUAUUAGGAGGAACACCGGUGGCGAAGGCGGCUUUCUGGACGGUAACUGACGCUGAGGCGCGAAAGCGUGGGGA